rnacentral:rRNA from 1 species
UACGGAGGGUGCAAGCGUUAUCCGGAUUCACUGGGUUUAAAGGGUGCGUAGGCGGGCAGGUAAGUCCGUGGUGAAAUCUCUGAGCUUAACUCAGAAACUGCCAUGGAUACUAUUUGUCUUGAAUAUUGUGGAGGUAAGCGGAAUAUGUCAUGUAGCGGUGAAAUGCUUAGAUAUGACAUAGAACACCAAUUGCGAAGGCAGCUUACUACACAGUUAUUGACGCUGAGGCACGAAAGCGUGGGGAACAAACAGG